rnacentral:misc_RNA from 1 species
GAUGAAGAACGCAGCGAAAUGCGAUACGUAAUGUGAAUUGCAGAAUUCAGUGAAUCAUCGAGUCUUUGAACGCACAUUGCGCCCCCCGGCAUUCCGGGGAGCAUGCCUGUUCGAGCGUCUCCAGGACGAAUCCUCGCGCGAGUGAACGCGCGGUCGUGGCGGAGGUGGCGUGCCCGAGCAGGGCGGCCACCGCGCUGGAAUCCAUGGGCGGACGCCUGCCGCGUGGCCGAGCGUGAUAUGACGCAUUGGCGCUCGUGCGCGGCGAGGCUGCCAGCCCUGGCCCGUCUGUCGGGCGGGGUAGAUCACCACGUGGGAACUCCUCGAAUCAGGUAGGGAUACCCGCUGAACUUAAGCAUAUCAAUAAGCGGAGGA